rnacentral:lncRNA from 1 species
GACAUGGCCGCGACGGAUCAAACACCGCCGUCGCAGGGAUCGGACACCCCUAGCUCUGAUGCCAAUUGUCGUCGCCAAACCGAGCGAUGGAUCCAGAAGAUGAACACACACACACACACGCGAGAGAGAGACAGUCUUUUGCGCCGCCUGAAUAUUGCAGCUCUUUCUGUUCCUCUUGCUACUUCUGUUAUUCUGUUACAACGGAAGAUAUCCUAGCUAGCUAACUCCCGACGGGAUCGCUGUGAUCCGCGCAAGUCACGCCAUCCCACGACCACUUCACACCGCGACUGGUUCCUACCGGGAGAGAAACUAGGGAAGAAAGCAAAACGUGGUUCGGACGUGCGUGCAAGCACUCCUCCCACUACUACGUGUAUGCGCAGGUCACAUCCACCAUGCACAAGCCUUAUUUGAAAUAAGCAAACCAUAGAACGACCUGGACCCAAAGCAGCCGAGGGUCCAACUAGCUUAGCCUAACAUCCACGCAGAGGCAACGUGACAAUGAAACGGGAAAGGCAGAGGUGGAGAGAGGAUUUAUCCCCAGCUACCAAACGAUGAAAUAGAUAUAGAGAGACAGAGCGCAUCUAACGAUAAUUCAUUCUUCUCUGACGCCGAUUGCGGAUCAGCUAGGUAUCGAUUAGGGGAGUAAAACCGAUCUUUCAUUUCUCUAACCGAUUAUAAGGUACCGGUUAGAAAUGGCCUUAGUCACUAGACAGAGCUAGAUGUCGAGCUACUGCACCACCACAACUGGAUGGCGCCGCCGCAUGGGAGCAACGUUUUUUCGACCCACUUAUACGAGGACCAAGAUAUGCACCUUUGCCCCCACUCAGCUCAAAGUAUUUGCUCCCACUCAUUUAUUUUUCUAUCAUAUUAAAGUCUGUGUAUGUGAAAUAAACUCACUGUGACACUAUGCUCCCUAUUUUUAAAAAGUCUGAAUUUGAGUCAUUCGAUUUUGACCGAAUCAACAAUUUCUCAAAGCUCUGUCAUUUAGUUCUUUUUUACUAUAC